rnacentral:rRNA from 1 species
GACUAACGCUGGCGGCGUGCUUAACACAUGCAAGUUGAACGGAGCACACCAAGUAGCAAUACGAGGUGUGCUUAGUAGCGGACGGGUGAGUAACGCGUGAGUAACCUGCCUUUGUGAGGGGGACAACAGCCGGAAACGGCUGCUAAUACCGCAUGAGACCACGACCUCGAGUGGGUUGAGGUAAAAGAUUUAUCGCACAAAGAUGGACUCGCGUCCCAUUAGCUAGUUGGUGAGGUAACGGCCCACCAAGGCGACGAUGGGUAGCCGACCUGCGAGGGUGAUCGGCCACACUGGAACUGAGACACGGUCCAGACUCCUACGGGAGGCAGCAGUGGGGAAUAUUGGGCAAUGGGCGCAAGCCUGACCCAGCAACGCCGCGUGAGGGAAGAAGGUCUUCGGAUUGUAAACCUCUGUCCUCAGGGACGAAUUGUGACGGUACCUGAGGAGGAAGCUCCGGCUAACUACGUGCCAGCAGCCGCGGUAACAC